GACGAACGCUGGCGGCGUGCUUAACACAUGCAAGUCGAGCGGUAAGGCCCUUUCGGGGGUACGACGAGCGGCGAGCGGGUGAGUAACACGUGGGUGACCUGCCCUCAGCUCUGGGAUAAGCCUGGGAAACCGGGUCUAAUACUGGAUAUGACUCCAUGACGCAUGUUGUGGGGUGGAAAGCCUUGUGCGGCUGAGGAUGGGCCCGCGGCCUAUCAGCUUGUUGGGGGGGUGAU
rnacentral:rRNA from 1 species